UACGUAGGGUGCGAGCGUUAAUCGGAAUUACUGGGCGUAAAGCGUGCGCAGGCGGUUAUUUAAGACAGAUGUGAAAGCCCCGGGCUCAACCUGGGAACUGCAUUUGGGACUGCAUAGCUAGAGUACGGUAGAGGGGGAUGGAAUUCCGCGUGUAGCAGUGAAAUGCGUAGAUAUGCGGAGGAACACCGAUGGCGAAGGCAAUCCCCUGGACCUUUACUGACGCUCAUGCGCGAAAGCGUGGGGAGCAAACAGG
rnacentral:rRNA from 1 species